GCUGGCGGCAGGCUUAACACAUGCAAGUCGAACGGUAACAGGAAAUAGCUUGCUAUUUUGCUGACGAGUGGCGGACGGGUGAGUAAUGCUUGGGAAUUUGCCUGAUGGUGGGGGACAACAGUUGGAAACGACUGCUAAUACCGCAUAAUGUCUACGGACCAAAGGUGGCCUCUAUUUAUAUGCUAUCGCUAUCAGAUGAGCCCAAGUGGGAUUAGCUAGUUGGUAAGGUAAUGGCUUACCAAGGCGACGAUCCCUAGCUGGUCUUAGAGGAUGACCAGCCACACUGGAACUGAGACACGGUCCAGACUCCUACGGGAGGCAGCAGUGGGGAAUAUUGCACAAUGGGGGAAAACCCUGAUGCAGCCAUGCCGCGUGUGUGAAGAAGGCUUUCGGGUUGUAAAGCACUUUCAGCGAGGAGGAAAGGGUGUUGCUUAAUACGUAACACCUGUGACGUUACUCGCAGAAGAAGCACCGGCUAACUCCGUG
rnacentral:rRNA from 1 species